rnacentral:rRNA from 1 species
GAUGAACGCUGGCGGCGUGCCUAAUACAUGCAAGUCGAGCGAAUGGAUUAAGAGCUUGCUCUUAUGAAGUUAGCGGCGGACGGGUGAGUAACACGUGGGUAACCUGCCCAUAAGACUGGGAUAACUCCGGGAAACCGGGGCUAAUACCGGAUAACAUUUUGAACCGCAUGGUUCGAAAUUGAAAGGCGGCUUCGGCUGUCACUUAUGGAUGUACCCGCGUCGCAUUAGCUAGUUGGUGAGGUAACGGCUCACCAAGGCAACGAUGCGUAGCCGACCUGAGAGGGUGAUCGGCCACACUGGGACUGAGACACGGCCCAGACUCCAACGGGAAGCAGCAGUAGGGAAUCUUCCGCAAUGGGCGAAAGCCUAACGGAGCAACGCCGCGUGAGUGAUGAAGGCUUUCGGGUCGUAAAACUCUGUUGUUAGGGAAGAACAAGUGCUAGUUGAAUAAGCUGGCACCUUGACGGUACCUAACCAGAAAGCCACGGCUAACUACGUGCCAGCCGCCGCCGUAA